AACGCACAUUGCGCCCUCUGGUAUUCCGGGGGGCAUGCCUGUUCGAGCGUCAUUACAACCCUCAAGCUCUGCUUGGUAUUAGGCCUCGCCUGUAUGGGCGGGCCUUAAAAUCAGUGGCGGUGCCAUUUGGCUUCAAGCGUAGUAAUUUUUCUCGCUCUGGAGGACCGAUUGUGUGCCUGCCAGAAACCCCAAUUUAUCAAAGGUUGACCUCGGAUCAGGUAGGGAUACCCGCUGAACUUAA
rnacentral:misc_RNA from 1 species